rnacentral:rRNA from 1 species
UACGUAGGGUGCGAGCGUUGUCCGGAAUUACUGGGCCUAAAGAGCUCGUAGGUGGUUUGUCGCGUUGUUCGUGAAAACUCACAGCUUAACUGUGGGCGUGCGGGCGAUACGGGCAGACUGGAGUACUGCAGGGGAGACUGGAAUUCCUGGUGUAGCGGUGGAAUGCGCAGAUAUCAGGAGGAACACCGGUGGCGAAGGCGGCUUGCUGGGCCUUACCUGACGCUGAGGAGCGAAAGCGUGGGGAGCGAACAGG